rnacentral:rRNA from 1 species
GAUGAACGCUGGCGGUAUGCUUAACACAUGCAAGUCGAACGGUCACUUCGGUGAUAGUGGCGGACGGGUGAGUAACGCGUGAGAAUCUGUCUUCAGGUCGGGGACAACAGUUAGAAAUGACUGCUAAUACCGGAUGUGCCUUUGGGUGAAAGAUUUAUUGCCUGAAAAAGAGCUCGCGUCAGAUUAGCUAGUAGGUGGUGUAAGAGACUACCUAGGCUCCGAUCUGUAGCUGGUCUGAGAGGACGAUCAGCCACACUGGAACUGAGACACGGUCCAGACUCCUACGGGAAGCAGCAGUGGGGAAUUUUCCGCAAUGGGCGAAAGCCUGACGGAGCAAUACCGCGUGAGGGACGAAGACUUUUGGGUCGUAAACCUCUUUUCUCAAGGAAGAUGAUGACGGUACUUGAGGAAUAAGCAUCGGCUAACUCUGUG